UUUCUAGCUGUGAAGCUGAACUUACAUUACCUCAACUGACCGGAGCCGUAGCAGACUCUCGGAUGGAAUGUAUGCAUCACUCUUUGCCAACUCAGGGUUAUUUAAUACGCUCAAAAUAAAGAUCUGGAUAAAGAGAAGAGAGAGGAGAAAGCUGAAGCUGAAGAUGCAUCUCCCUAUUCCUGAAGCUUAAUGGCUUUGGGAAAUUCUAGAAGAUGAGUUUCCUGCCACAGAAAACUUGUCCUACUAACAAUUUUGGAAAUGGACACUUUCAGCCAGGCAGAUUAUAGCCCAUCCUGUGGCUUCACAACCAUCUGUACGUGAAUGAAUUGGGAAGAAUUUCUAAACCUAUGAAGAAGUGACCCAAACUGAAAAGUGGGAUGAGCUACCUCAACAACAG